rnacentral:tRNA from 1 species
UGUCCAGUGGCUCAAUUGGUUAAAGCGCCGGACUAGUGAUACGGGAGUCGUGGGUUCGAAUCCCACCAAAACAA